rnacentral:rRNA from 1 species
UUUGACCUCAAAUCAGGUAGGACUACCCGCUGAACUUAAGCCUAUCAAUAAGCGGAGGGAAAGAAACUAACGAGGAUUCCCCUAGUAACUGGGAGUGAAGCGGGAAAAGCUCAAAUUUAAAAUCUGGCGUGUCUUUGGUCGUCCGAGUUGUAGUCUGGAGAAGUGUUUGCCGCGUUGGAACGUGUAUAAGUCCCUUGGAACAGGGUGUCGUAGAGGGUGAGAAUCCCGUCUUUGACAUGGACUACCAAUGCUUGGGGAGCUUU